rnacentral:lncRNA from 1 species
GGUGUGUGUGUGUUUGACGUGGCCACCCCACAGCCUCUCGUUUCCUCAUGAACAUCCAACACAGUGGAGGUGUUCCAACUGACUGUACAGCACCAGAGGAAGCAUCUGACCCAUAUGUUGACUGGCCAUCCUGGACUCCCAGUGCUCCCUAUGGGGUCUACUCCGUGGUUAACAUGUGUCUCGGUCAUUUAGCAUGCGGGUAUCAUGCCAUCAUGACUUUUAACCCCAGAGGAGGAAACUUGACGGCAGACCUCAGAGGAGAGCCACAUGAUCCUCCAGAUAUCCCUACACCUUCCAACCCCACAGAGAGAGAGUGAGAGAGAGACUGAGAACUGUGGAGCGCCGUGUCGGAAAGAGGAGGGGGUCUGGUAAGAUGAGUGGAACUCUGAAGGACCGCUUCACAUCCCAAUGAGAGAAUUUGGUGUGGAAGUGAGCUUGUGUAUGCAAGUGAUCGAUACCAGCAACCCAUCUUGCUCGUCUCAAACACACACACACACACACACACACAUGCAAACGCACCCAGGGUGCAACAGUGCUGUCUCACUCAGCCUCGUAAUGAGUGUAUAGGCUCAACACUGGCAGAUGGGAGAAAUGCCACCGUUGCAGAGCGUGUCACUCAGCUGUGAUAAGAUGUAUUAGAGAGG